rnacentral:misc_RNA from 1 species
GAAAUGCGAUAAGUAGUGUGAAUUGCAGAAUUCAGUGAAUCAUCGAAUCUUUGAACGCACAUUGCGCCCCUCGGUAUUCCGUGGGGCAUGCCUGUUCGAGCGUCAUCUACACCCUCAAGCUCUGCUUGGUGUUGGGCGUCUGUCCCGCCUCCUUCGCGCGCGGACUCGCCCCAAAUCCAUUGGCGGCGGCCCUUGCCUCCCUCUCGCGCAGCACAUUGCGCUUCUCGAGGCGCGGCGGACCGCGUCCAGCAAGCAACCGUCACACCGUCUUUGACCUCGGAUCAGGUAGGGAUACCCGCUGAACUUAAG